UAAAAUUAGAAAAAGACGAAAAUAUUUCCAAAAACGAAAAAGCUUCUCCAGUGCUGCACAGUGAAAGAAACAAACAAACCGAUGUCUCUCCUCCAUAACAAUCAUUAAAACGUCUCUCCCCUUUUCUCUUCUUUCUGGAGCCUCCGCCUCAAUAAUCCCUGCUCUUCAAGUUAACUCAGUAAUGGAGGGUUUUGCUCUGAGUUAUCAACUCCGUGUUCCAAUUCCUAUGAUAAUAUCUCUACCCUUGGAUCCUCCUUCACUGUCUUUCCCAAACGAGUUUUGCUUAUAGUGUUACGCUUUCAGUCCAUCUGUUUGGGUUCUUGUGCUCGCUAGAGUGUGGUAUCGCCGUGGAUUUGCUUGAAAUCACACAGAUCUGACGGGACGGGUGCUCUCAAUUAACGGCGUUGGUGAUGUCGGUGCUUGCAAUUUCAAGCCGCGGCGGAUUAUCGAGAAGAGUCUGGUAUUUGUUUCUGCAGCUUUUGAUCAUUUUAUGCUAUUUAAUUCCCAUCACCAAUGCCGAUUUAGCUGAUGAUCAAUUCAGAGGGCCGAUCUUAUCUCCAUCUAGUGUGCCUCUGGUUGCACCUGCCAUUCCUGAUCUACCCCUCCCAUACAAUCUACCAUCGUUACAUAAACCACGGAAAAAGCAUUUCUCACCUCAUGGUGCACCGGCAUUUGUGGUAGCACCAACCCAACCUCCUAAUUAUGGUCCACUGAUAACUUCCGGCCAUCCCCCGACUAGUUCACACUUGUCUAAACCAUCAAUGAAGAAGAAUGCAUUGGUGCCUCCCAGUGUUGGAUUGGUAGAUGUUGCUCCAACUCAGUCUGGUGAUGGCACAAAUCCUACUGUUUUAGCUCAGUCCCCAUUAUCUCCUUCUUUUUCUGAUUGUUGUAAACCAGACAUGGUGCUGAAACGAGGGAGUCAUGGUUGCCACUGUGUGUAUCCAAUAAAGCUUGACCUUCUCCUUUUGAAUGUCUCACAAAAUCCUAAUUGGAACCUGUUUCUAGAAGAAUUAUCUUCCCAGCUGGGCUUGCUAGUUUCACAAAUUGAGCUGAUAAACUUUUAUUUACUAAGCUUAUCAAGAUUAAAUAUUUCAAUGGAUAUCAUUCCUCACACAGGAAUCAGUUUCUCUGCCAGUGAUGCAUCUGCAGUAAACUCUUCGCUUGCCUUGCAUAAGGUUCACUUUGACUCCUCUCAUGUGGGUGAUUAUAAACUCCUGAAUCUUACUUGGUUUGAACCUCCUGCACCUUCGCCAGCUCCUAUUGUUGCUUCAUCGCCCAUGAGGGCACCGGCACAUCAAUCUUCAACUUCAACAUCAACAUCGGUUGGUUCUUCAAGGAAGGACAAACAUACAAAUUUGAUUCUUGUUCUGGGUAUUGGUUCUGGCAUUGUGAUUAUUGCCAUUGUAUCUAUGCUAAUUAUCUGUUCGUGUGUAUUCCGUGAAGGGAAGCCUAAAGCAUCCCCUAAAGAAACUGUAAAGCCAAGGACCAUAGAUCCAGUUCCAGCAGCAGGUUCUCUUCCACAUCCUUCAAGUACACGGUUUCUAGCCUAUGAAGAACUUAAAGAAGCAACAAACAACUUUGAAUCUGCAAGCAUACUUGGAGAGGGUGGGUUUGGUAGAGUUUACAAAGGUGUCUUAAGUGAUGGCACAGCUGUAGCAAUUAAGAGGCUUACUAGUGGAGGGCAACAAGGGGGUAAAGAAUUUUUGGUGGAGGUUGAGAUGCUUAGCAGGCUGCAUCACCGUAAUCUUGUCAAACUUGUGGGCUACUAUAGCAGUCGUGACUCUUCACAAAACCUACUUUGCUAUGAGCUUGUUCCAAAUGGAAGUCUAGAGGCCUGGCUCCAUGGCCCUCUGGGUGCAAACUGUCGUCUGGAUUGGGAUACCAGAAUGAAGAUUGCACUUGAUGCUGCAAGAGGACUUGCGUACCUACACGAGGACUCUCAACCCUGUGUCAUCCACAGAGAUUUCAAGGCAUCCAAUAUAUUGCUUGAGAAGAACUUUCAUGCGAAAGUUUCUGAUUUUGGUCUUGCCAAACAGGCACCUGAAGGCAGAGCAAAUUAUCUUUCCACUCGGGUCAUGGGAACAUUUGGGUAUGUAGCCCCUGAGUAUGCUAUGACCGGACAUCUACUAGUCAAAAGUGAUGUUUAUAGCUAUGGAGUUGUCCUCCUCGAGUUGCUGACUGGAAGGAUGCCUGUAGAUAUGUCACAACCAUCCGGCCAAGAGAACCUUGUCACUUGGGCCAGGCCCAUUCUGAGAGACAAGGACCAGUUAGAAGAGCUCGCUGAUCCAACGCUUGGAGGGAAAUAUCCCAAGGAAGAUUUUGUACGAGUCUGCACAAUUGCAGCAGCGUGUGUUUCCUCUGAGGCAAGCCAGCGACCGACCAUGGGUGAAGUAGUACAGUCACUUAAAAUGGUGCAGCGUGUAAUGGAAUAUCAAGAUUCCAUGUCAACCUCCAAUGCCCGGGCCAACCUGAGGCAGUCAUCUAAUACCUUCGAAUCUGAUGGGACAUCUUCAAUGUUCUCUUCUGGUCCAUACUCUAGCCUAAGUGCCUUAGAUAACGACAAUAUCUCUCGGACAGCAGUUUUCUCUGAAGACCUUCAUGAAGGACGAUGAAUAUCUCGAAGGUAGUUUGAAGCAAUCAAUCUGAUAGCCCCAAGUGGGGAAAUAUUUAGUAGGAUUUCUUUUUGGAAUAGAUUUUGUAGUUGUGAUUGGUGGAGUGGCUGCCUUUUGUUUUGCCUUGUGGAGAACCACCGCUGCCAAGUCCCCCCAAAAGCAGCGUGGCUACUCUACAUGGCUGUUGAAAUUUUGUAUAUAUAGCGAGGGCCAAGGUUCUUAGUUAUCAAUCUUCUUCAACCCUUCUUCUAUAUAUAGCUAACUUCCGUAGUUUAACAAAACUAACUACUUAAUUAGUCUUCAUGGUUUCAAAAAACAAACUAUGUAUUUAAUUCCUAUUUUUUUAGAAAAUUUAUUCAUGAAUCAGCGAGUAGAUUAGCUA